UAAAAUGUCGGCGAGCGGCGGACGGCUGAGUAACGCGUGGGAACGUACCCCAAAGUGAGGGAUAACGCAUCGAAAGGUGUGCUAAUACCGCAUAUGAUCUUCGGAUUAAAGCCUUCGGGCGCUUUGGGAACGGCCUGCGUAAGAUUAGAUAGUUGGUGGGGUAAUGGCCUACCAAGUCAACGAUCUUUAACUGGUUUGAGAGGAUGAUCAGUCAGACUGGAACUGAGACACGGUCCAG
rnacentral:rRNA from 1 species